UAAUAAAAUAACUGUACUCUCUGGAGACCCUAAGAUCACAUCCUUUGUUUCUCUGAAACAUUCUUUGGUAACUUUUCAGCUCUGUCACUUUUUAUUGCCCAAGUUCCAUAGUAUUUCUUUCUUCAUCAUUGUCUCUUACCACAGCUCUGUAAUUUGUCAGUAAUCUUGGUGUCUUAGAAAAGAUACAAAGAUUUCUCUAGACCUGUCUUCAGAAAGUGAAGAUAUAUAGGAAAGAGAGACAUUUGAUGAAUAGACACUCAACAACUAUUCCUGGGAAAUAUCUGAGAAACGAUCAACCUCGCGCAGCGACAGCCUUUGGGAAUACAUCUUCCAGGACUGACUCGCGCGGUCAGCAGUUCAGACCCAAGAAAACAGCAGGGAGAUCUUCCAACGUCUACAGCCAUCAGGAAGCGACCGGGUUUUCCAGAGCGCGCAGCUGCUCCCGAAAUCCUGUCUCUUCAGCCUUGAGCUCCUUUUCAGCUAUUUUGAAUAUCCCGUUUCAUUCAGUGCUGCCUAAAACUGGACUUCACAGAGGGGAGGAGGGGGAAGAGGAGGAAAGAGGAAUGUUAUUUGUUUAACUUUGUGGCCAUCUUUGUUGCCUGUAGGUUUUCACAUCGAGCCGGCCUGGCAGUGCCCAGGAAACAGGGCAUUCUUCAUAAUUCUGCUUCAGUGAAAACAUACUGUCCUGCAGUUAGCAGGAAAAAGGGAAAAAGAGCCUGAAGGCGCUGGAAUAAUUAAGCGAAUGCAGUGACAGCUGUGGCAGGUCCUGGGCAGGACUGGCUCCACUGAGCUGAAUUAAUGGCAUCAACAGCCCAGCAUCUCCAUUAACAUUUGAUCAUUAAUUAUUACCCUCUGACAGUAAGAUCUGAAACCUUCUUAUGAGUGGCCUGUUAUUAAUCUACCUUACCUGCCCUGCAAAUCAGACAGGCUCCCCACCUAAACAGAGAAUCUUCAAGUCAUUUUUCCUCCCUUAAAAACAAAAAGCACCACCACCAAACCACCUCAGCAAUUGCUUUUAGGAUUAGUUUAGUAAAUAAUACACACAGAACUACUUUUAAAUUAAUUGGGUGCAUUCUUAAAGCAUCAGCAACAUUCCUAGAAUAUUCUUAUGUUGACUUAAGCAUAAUGGUUACCUAGUAUAUGUUACUAGCUGUUUGCACUUAAUGUUCACAGAGGAAAAAAACAUGAGCGCUGCUCUUGAGCUAUUUGUCAUAACCAAAUGAAGGACUCAAUUUUUUUUAAAACUCUGCACAGCUGAGAACAUCUACUAAAUAUGGUAACCGAUUUAUCAAACUAAAUUCAGAAAUCUGCUAUCAUCUCAAUACCUAUCACAAAAGCUAAACAACAUCCUGCACCUUUAGAUCAAAGAGGCAAAUAAGGAUUAAAAAAAACCUAGGCUUUUUUAAAAAAAGGAAAACAAUAGUGAAGGCCUAAUUAUAUCACUAAAUUUGCAUUUAGCAACCUUUGCACAGCCAUUUGGCUCACCGUCUUGUUAAAGAGGAGUUGCAGCACAUUAACCUUUUUUUUUUUUUUAAACUAUUCCUACAAUCAGCAGUGAGGAGCAAAAAGGAGAACCUAAUUCUCUGCUGGCUGCUGUGAAUCAGAAGAAACUAUUCCCCAGUUAGAGGAGAAUCAGGCUCACUCCAUCUUUGUGCAGAGUCCGUGGACCUUCCUUCCACCACUCCACCUGCCUCAUUCUCCACUCUGCUUUUGCUCGCUGAUGCUGUUGCAAGCAUUGACCAGAAACAAAACCCAAUUAGUUGCCUAUUUGAUCUUUUCUCAGAGGCACAGGACAAUGCAAAAAUCCCAGUGUCAGGUGUCCUGCAGCAUGGUGGUUUUUCUGAUAAGACCCAGAUAGACAUGAGCAACUAAGACCUCUCCAGUUAUUGGGAGGGGGAGGGAGAGAAAGAGGAAGAGCUUACAGGUGGCAGGGAACUGCUGAGUCUGCUUCUCUCCUGGGCCCUAUCUGCUCAGCCCUGAAUGAUGAGACAGGGCCAUCUGGACCCAGGACUCAGUUAUGCCCCGGCCAGAGAGGAGCACAGUCAAGCACAGUCCCCAGAGCACAGCAGAAGAGUCAACCACCUAACAGAGGGACUAAAUCACCACGCAUGAACGACACUAAUGGUCUCUGUUGCAAUGAUUUCUUUUAGAAGACAGGAUUUAGGACAAAAACCAAAAGUAGUCUUGAAAUUUCUCUGCAGUGCCCCAAGAAAAGGGAGGAGAUUAAGAGUUUUCUACAUAUUAAGAUACCAUCUCCUCUUCAGAGACAUAGUUGCUUGUAUUGUUUCAGAGCUAACAUAAUAGGAUAUAUAUUUUCAAAGAGGGCUGUGUUUCAGACCAGAUGGUUUCUGUCUUCUAGUAGAGAAACAACAACUACACAGUUGCAGCAGUGUUCAGCACUGAGUCAAUGGCACCCACAUUUUCAGGGCAGACGAGAGUGUGAUUUGUGGGAAUCUUAGUAUAAUUUAAAAGGGCUUUUCAAUAAUUUAGUAUCACAGUUUGCUGUGAAGCUGGCUAUCAUGUACCAUCUCAAGUAAGCCUAUUCUGGUUUUGCAUACAAAUGUAUCUGUUAAUACAACACUGGCAGGAUAUGCCCAGAUUAGGCAGAUAAUGGUCACUGUGGCUAUCCCACAGUUCUGAAUUUUCAGGAACCGAAAAGCCCGUUCGCCAACAUUUUACAAUUCAACAGUACCUUUCAAACAAAUAGCUCAGAGUUAGGAUAUGCUUCAGAAAGUGUUCCUUUCUGUAGGCCGGGAAACGCAUAUGUGAAGAUUAAGGCCAAGGGUUUUCUUUAAUAUAGAUGCCUGAUCCUAGAUAUCUACAAUCUAAUUUUCAGAAACGAUGAAUUCUGCUUUCUGCCAUCCACUUCAACUAGAAACAUAGCACGUACAGCACUUCUGUUGAAGCUGAAGCUAUUUCCUUUGUGCCUCACUCUGCAGGUGCUCAAAGCUGCAGACACCUUUGAGAGCACUGACCUCAAAGACUUGCCGUAAGACAAAAACACGACAAACAGUAGCAACAGAACCACCAUUUCUCCAUCUCACAGAAAGCCUCUUCUAACCAGCAGACACCAGCCCACCAAUAUCCCUACACACGUGGCGUGAACAAAGGAAUUGAGGUUAGAUUAUAGCAAAAUAUGGAUAAAAACAUCAUUGCAUAAACAUGAAUUAUCUUGUCACACAAGUUUCUAUGGAUUCCUGCAACUAUAUAGGGAGUUUUACCACUUUCAAACCUUACAGGUAUUUGAGGAUUUAAAACAAAUAAAUAAAUAAGAGAGGCCA
ensembl:lncRNA